UCCAUGUCACCCCGGGAGCCUGACCCUUCAGCGACCGAGCCACCCCAGCCGAGGGCUGCUACAUACACUUCUCAGAUUCUCCGGGCAGAUGCGGACAUCUACUCAUCUUGCGGCCCUGAGGACAAGCCUUGUAGGUCACAGAGACCCGGUAUAACAUAGGAGGGGACUACACAAGAGCUCGACUACCAGGAGGCAAGGAUCGUUGGGAGGCGUCCUGGAGUCCGUCACAGGUAAUCAGAUGCACAAAACAAACUGGAUAAACA